rnacentral:rRNA from 1 species
UACAGAGGGUGCAAGCGUUAAUCGGAAUUACUGGGCGUAAAGCGUGCGUAGACGGUUGCGUAAGCCAGAUGUGAAAGCCCCGGGCUCAACCUGGGAAUUGCAUUUGAGACUGCGUAGCUAGGGUGCGGAAGAGGGAAGCGGAAUUUCCGGUGUAGCGGUGAAAUGCGUAGAUAUCGGAAGGAACACCAGUGGCGAAAGCGGCUUCCUGGUCCAGCACCGACGUUCAGGCACGAAAGCGUGGGGAGCAAACAGG